rnacentral:rRNA from 1 species
UGAUACGCUUGUCUCAAAGAUUAAGCCAUGCAUGUCUAAGUACAUACUUUGAAAAAGUGAAACCGCGAAUGGCUCAUUAAAUCAGUUAUGGUUCCUUAGAGCUAGUCCAUUUACAUGGAUAACUCUGGCAAACUGGAGCUAAUACAUGCAAAUAUUCCCGGCCGCAAGGCUGGGAGCACUUAUUAGAUCAAAACCAAUGUGUUUGAUGACUCUGGAUAAUUUUGCCAACCACUUAGUCCUUUGUGACGGUGGUGUAUCUUUCAAAUGUCUGCCCUAUCAAUUGCUGAUGGUACGUGCCUUGCCUACCAUGAUUGUAACGGGUAACGGAGAAUCAGGGUUUGAUUCCGGAGAGGGAGCCUGAGAAAUGGCUGCCACAUCUAAGGAAGGCAGCAGGCGCGUAAAUUACCUACUCUUUGAAAAAGGAGGUAGUGACGAGAAAUUACAAUGCUGUUCCUCAAAUGGUUCAGUGAUUGUCUUGAGUGCACCUUAAAACGAUGCUCAAGGAUCUAUUGGAGGGCAAGUCUGGUGCCAGCAGCCGCGGUAAUUCCAGCUCCAAUAGCGUAUAUUAAAGUUGUUGCGGCUAAAAAGCUCGUAGUUGGAUCUCAGGUUUGACAUGCAGCCUGCUUGUGUGUGGGUACUGCAUGGAGAGCCUUAAUUCUUGUGUAUGGCUGGCUGCUCUUUAUUGAGUGGCUGGUCUGCCUUGAAAAUUUACUUUGAAGAAAUGAGCGUGCUCAAAGCAGGCCUGACCAGCCUGAAUCUUAGUGCAUGGAAUAAUAGAAAAGGACUUCGGUUCUGUUUUAUUGGUUUUAAGAACCAAGUAAUGGUUAAUAGAGACAGGCGGGGGCAUUUGUACUGCGGGGUUAGAGGUGAAAUUCUUGGAUCCUCGCAAGACAAACUACAGCGAAAGCAUUUGCCAAGAAUGUCUUCAUUAAUCAAGAACGAAAGUCGGAGGUUCGAAGGGGAUCAGAUACCCCCCUAGUUCUGACCAUAAACGAUGCCAACUAGCUGCUAGUCAGUGUUACUUGUUUGACCUGACUGGAAGCUCUCGGUAAGCCCAAGUAUUUGGGUUCCGGGGAUAGUAUGGUUGCAAAGCUGAAAUUUAAAGGAAUUGACGGAAGGGCACCACCAGGAGUGGAGCCUGCGGCUUAAUUUGACUCAACACGGGAAACCUCACCAGGCCCGGACACCGUAAGGAUUGACAGACUGAGAGCUCUUUCUUGAUUCGGUGGAUGGUGGUGCAUGGCCGUUCUUAGUUCGUGGAGUGAUUUGUCUGGUUAAUUCCGGUAACGAACGAGACUCAUUCUUGCUAACUAGUCACUGGCUGAUUUAUCAGUGCGGUGUGCUUCUUAGAGGAACUGGGGGCUUUGAAGCCUCACGAAAUUGAGCAAUAACAGGUCUGUGAUGCCCUUAGAUGUUUAGGGCUGCACGCGCGCUACAAUGAGUAGGCCAGCAUGUAGUACUAGGCUGGAAACGGCUUGGGAAUCAUGUGAAUCCUACUCGUGACUGGGAUAGAGAAUUGUAAUUAUUUUUCUUGAACGAGGAAUUCCCAGUAAACGCAAGUCAUAAGCUUGCAUUGAUUACGUCCCUGCCCUUUGUACACACCGCCCGUCGCUAGUAGCGAUUGAUGGCUUAGCAAGGAUCCUGGACUGGUUGACUCUCUGAGUUGGCUGGGAAGAGAUUCUAGCUAUGCUAUUGAGAGCAACUAAAAGUCGUAACAAGGUAUCC